GAGUUUGAUCAUGGCUCAGAUUGAACGCUGGCGGAAUGCUUUACACAUGCAAGUCGAACGGCAACAUAGAGAGCUUGCUCUCUGAUGGCGAGUGGCGAACGGGUGAGUAAUAUAUCGGAACGUGCCUAGUAAUGGGGAAUAACUAGCUGAAAGGUUAGCUAAUGCCGCAUACGACCUACGGGUGAAAGCAGGGGAUCUUCGGACCUUGCGUUAUUAGAGCGGCCGAUAUCUGAUUAGCUUGUUGGUGGGGUAAUGGCCUACCAAGGCGACGAUCAGUAGCUGGUCUGAGAGGACGAUCAGCCACACUGGAACUGAGACACGGUCCAGACUCCUACGGGAGGCAGCAGUGGGGAAUUUUGGACAAUGGGGGCAACCCUGAUCCAGCCAUUCCGCGUGAGUGAAGAAGGCCUUCGGGUUGUAAAGCUCUUUCGCAAGAGAAGAAAACUUGCUAUCUAAUAAAUAGUAAGCAUGACGGUGUCUUGACAAGAAGCACCGGCUAACUACGUGCCAGCAGCCGCGGUAAUACGUAGGGUGCAAGCGUUAAUCGGAAUUACUGGGCGUAAAGCGUGCGCAGGCAGUUUUAUAAGUCAGAUGUGAAAUCCCCGAGCUCAACUUGGGAACUGCGUUUGAAACUGUAAGACUAGAGUGUGUCAGAGGGGGGUAGAAUUCCAAGUGUAGCAGUGAAAUGCGUAGAGAUUUGGAGGAAUACCAAUGGCGAAGGCAGCCCCCUGGGAUAACACUGACGCUCAUGCACGAAAGCGUGGGGAGCAAACAGGAUUAGAUACCCUGGUAGUCCACGCCCUAAACGAUGUCUACUAGUUGUUGGUGGAGUAAAAUCCAUGAGUAACGCAGCUAACGCGUGAAGUAGACCGCCUGGGGAGUACGGUCGCAAGAUUAAAACUCAAAUGAAUUGACGGGGCCCGC
rnacentral:rRNA from 1 species